rnacentral:rRNA from 1 species
GUGAGGAAUAUUGGACAAUGGGCGCAAGCCUGAUCCAGCCAUGCCGCGUGCAGGAAGACGCAUCUAUGGUGUGUAAACUGCUUUUGUACGGGAAGAAACACUCCCUCGUGAGGGAGCUUGACGGUACCGUAAGAAUAAGGAUCGGCUAACUCCGUGCCAGCAGCCGCGGUAAUACGGAGGAUCCAAGCGUUAUCCGGAAUCAUUGGGUUUAAAGGGUCCGUAGGCGGUUUAAUAAGUCAGUGGUGAAAGCAUAUCGCUCAACGAUGGAACGGCCAUUGAUACUGUUAGACUUGAAUUACAAGGAAGUAACUAGAAUAUGUAGUGUAGCGGUGAAAUGCUUAGAUAUUACAUGGAAUACCAAUUGCGAAGGCAGGUUACUACUUGUGGAUUGACGCUGAUGGACGAAAGCGUGGGGAGCGAACAGGAUUAGAAACCCGGGUAGUCC